AAUGCCUAGGAAUCUGCCUGGUAGUGGGGGAUAACGUUCGGAAACGGACGCUAAUACCGCAUACGUCCUACGGGAGAAAGCAGGGGACCUUCGGGCCUUGCGCUAUCAGAUGAGCCUAGGUCGGAUUAGCUUGUUGGUGAGGUAAUGGCUCACCAAGGCGACGAUCCGUAACUGGUCUGAGAGGAUGAUCAGUCACACUGGAACUGAGACACGGUCCAGACUCCUACGGGAGGCAGCAGUGGGGAAUAUUGGACAAUGGGCGAAAGCCUGAUCCAGCCAUGCCGCGUGUGUGAAGAAGGUCUUAGGAUUGUAAAGCACUUUAAGUUGGGAGGAAGGGUUGUAGUUUAAUACGCUGCAAUCUUGACGUUACCGACAGAAUAAGCACCGGCUAACUCUGUGCCAGCAGCCGCGGUAAUACAGAGGGUGCAAGCGUUAAUCGGAAUUACUGGGCGUAAAGCGCGCGUAGGUGGCAAAGUAAGAUGGGUGUGAAAUCCCCGGGCUCAACCUGGGAACUGCAUCCAUAACUGCUUCGCUAGAGUACGGUAGAGGGUAGUGGAAUUUCCUGUGUAGCGGUGAAAUGCGUAGAUAUAGGAAGGAACACCAGUGGCGAAGGCGACUACCUGGACUGAUACUGACACUGAGGUGCGAAAGCGUGGGGAGCAAACAGGAUUAGAUACCCUGGUAGUCCACGCCGUAAACGAUGUCAACUAGCCGUUGGAAUCCUUGAGAUUUUAGUGGCGCAGCUAACGCAUUAAGUUGACCGCCUGGGGAGUACGGUCGCAAGAUUAAAACUCAAAUGAAUUGACGGGGGCCCGCACAAGCGGUGGAGCA
rnacentral:rRNA from 1 species